rnacentral:rRNA from 1 species
AGUGAACGCUGGCGGUAGGCCUAACACAUGCAAGUCGAACGGCAGCACAGUAAGAGCUUGCUCUUACGGGUGGCGAGUGGCGGACGGGUGAGGAAUACAUCGGAAUCUACUUUUUCGUGGGGGAUAACGUAGGGAAACUUACGCUAAUACCGCAUACGACCUACGGGUGAAAGCAGGGGAUCUUCGGACCUUGCGCGAUUGAAUGAGCCGAUGUCGGAUUAGCUAGUUGGCGGGGUAAAGGCCCACCAAGGCGACGAUCCGUAGCUGGUCUGAGAGGAUGAUCAGCCACACUGGAACUGAGACACGGUCCAGACUCCUACGGGAGGCAGCAGUGGGGAAUACUGGACACUGGGCGCAAGCCUGAUCCAGCCAUACCGCGUGGGUGAAGAAGGCCUUCUGGUUGUAAAGCCCUUUUGUUGGGAAAGAAAAGCAGCAGGUUAAUACCCCGCUGUUCUGACGGUACCCAAAGAAUAAGCACCGGCUAACUUCGUG